rnacentral:rRNA from 2 species
CGGGGCUUAAAGUCUUGUAAUUGGAAUGAUGGGAAUUUAAACCUCUUCCAGAGUAUCAAUUGGAGGGCAAGUCUGGUGCCAGCAGCCGCGGUAAUUCCAGCUCCAAUAGCGUAUAUUAAAAUUGUUGCAGUUAAAAAGCUCGUAGUUGAAUUUCUGCUGCAUCGCUGCGUCCCCUCGGGGUCUCUGCAUGUGGCUUAUUUCAGACGAAGUUUCUUUGUCUGGAUGUUUACUUUGAGAAAAUUAGAGUGCUCAAAGCAGGCCUUUGCCUUGAAUAGUUUAGCAUGGAAUAAUAAAGUAGGACUUUGGUUCUAUUUUGUUGGUUUUAGGUACCAAAGUAAUGGUUAAUAGGAACAGUUGGGGGCAUUCGUAUUUAACUGUCAGAGGUGAAAUUCUUAGAUUUGUUAAAGACGAACUACUGCGAAAGCAUUUGCCAAGGAUGUUUUCAUUAAUCAAGAAC